rnacentral:rRNA from 1 species
UACGAAGGGGGCUAGCGUUGCUCGGAAUUACUGGGCGUAAAGGGAGCGUAGGCGGACAUUUAAGUCAGAGGUGAAAUCCCGGAGCUUAACUCGGAACUGCCUUUGAUACUGGGUGUCUUGAGUGUGAGAGAGGUAUGUGGAACUCCGAGUGUAGAGGUGAAAUUCGUAGAUAUUCGGAAGAACACCAGUGGCGAAGGCGACAUACUGGCUCAUUACUGACGCUGGAGGCUCGAAAA